UUGUUCAAAAACUAUCUGGAGUUGUCAAGGCUCAGACGGACAGAGGCGAAAAAGUACAGUUUGUUAAUGCUUUUUCGGCGAAGCGACGGGGAGAAGUUUUGUGGACACAACAUAGCAGGGACCUAUUGGGAGAAGGCUCUCUGUCUCACACACACACACACACUCUGACACACACUCACUGAGAGGGAGAGAGAGAGAGUGAGAGUGUGUGGAGACGCGGCUUGGUGCUUGUUGUUUUUGUCCAGAGAGAAAAGUUGCAGAGAAAAAUCGUCAGUGCCUGCGGAUGGCCCCAUCAAGCCAAAGUUUGUUGCCUGUUUCCUAAAAAGGGGGAAGAUUUUUCCAUCAAAAUGCCCAACAUCCCCAGUGACAUAACAGAAGAGUGAAGAUGCAAUCAAGAGACCAGGACAUUGCAUAAACCGGAUGGCAAAUGGGGACUGAGGACCAGCGGCUGCUGUAAUCUCCACUGUUCAAUUAGCUGCACUGACCGGGACGCCACCUACACUUCAUUAACAGGGUGGGGAAGGUAUGGAUUUUCUCUCUCUCUCUCUUUCUCUCUGUUUCUUUCCUUUUCUCUGUUUCUCUCAAUCGUCUCUUUCCGCUUUCAGGGAGAAACAUCUUAGCAGCAACAAAAUGAAACUUUCCCUGUAUUAGUUAAAACAGUUUUCUUCUUAUUCUUCUUACUUGUUCUUAUUUUACCUUUAAAAUUGAAGCUUUUGGAAUAUUCACCAAGAGGCAACAGAGGAAACGAGCAAGAGGAAGAAAAAAUCGAGGGGUGGGGGGAGUAUAAAUCCACAAAGACAAUUUAGCUUUUCCUGCCUCUUUUCUUGUUUUUCCAAUUACUUAAUGCUAUUUAAGUACACCAGGGCUGACACACACACACACGUUAAUGGUCCUCAGCCAUGGAGAAGCUCCUGAAAUAAGUCACGCAGUAAUUGUAUUUGAUAAAUCAUAAAGGGAGCCCAUCAGAGGAAAGCUAGCUGUAAUAAAAUGAUAAAAUAGACAAUUAUGAAAAAAAUCCCUGGCCUUUAAUUUCCUAAACGCACUCUGGAGAGAGGCCGUUUAAGCCGGAGCGAUUUGACGAGAUGCUCAACACGUUAUUUCUCUCCUCUUUGACACUUUGAAUUACACCACAGGCCACUGAAAUGGUUGUAACAUUAGCAGAACGCCACGCAUCUCCGCUCUCUGCUUGUUCAUAUCUCUUCAGUCUUGUUUCAUAUGUGUGUCCAACAGUGAACUUUCAAUGUAUUAAUAAUACAGUGUUUUUGGUAGAUUGGCCAGUUGAUUAGAUAUGCAGUAUAGGAUGUAGACAAAAUAUUAUGUGAAAUAUUGAUGUUUCAGGUUCAAAUCCUGUUUUUGCAAGGACUGCAACAAAGGUGGGUCAUAUUACAUUGUGCGCCACUUAGCAGAACUUGUUAACCCCUUUUCUCCACACUGUGGAUGUGCUUCAAAAGCCUGUUGAUGUAGCCUGUAGCUGCUGACCACAGUUUCUCUUUGUCAGUGAAAAUACAGAAGGCAGAAGAGCCCUUUCAUCCAGGAUAAUUUUAAACAUGUUUAACUUUUAAUAGUGGAACUGGGACUGUAGACAUUAUGGGUUUCAAAAUAAAGAAAAACCAGACUGAAACUGGCGAGCAGCACCCUGAUCCAGGACUGUCACUUUAGGUACAUCGAUGGUCCUGAUUUUAGGGCUCUGUACUGUGUUUUCAGUGAGUAAAAAUUAUUCUGUAAUCCACUUUGAGCUCAAGUUCACACCACUCUGAUUAAGUUCACGCUCCUUCUCUUUGCAGAGUUAACAUUUUACAUUUUUCUGUUCACUGUCACAUCUAAAUUUUGCGUUUUUUAUACAAACUGUUCUGAUGAAUGUUUAUGUCUGUUUUACAGUUGUGUGUGAGAUUUUUUUCUCCUUGCAAGAUUUUGAAGACUGCAGCCUGUUUCCCACUGAGUGGUCAUCUGCCUUCUGUCUGUAUACAACUCAUUUGCAACAGCUAAUACGUUUUGAAAGAAAUGCAGUUAUUACCAGAUAAUGUUUUCUGUUAACAUAAUGAGGAUAUGUUUUUUAUGUUUUUUAUCUUGAUACCGAAGGUAUCAGUAAAAUAUUGAUUUACAACAUAUUUGUUUUCUGCCAAAAUAUCUGAUCUUGCAGUCCAGUAUCCACUUUUAGUAACUACAGAUUUAUUUAACUGUUUUAUGGUGAUGCUUAGACUCUGGUUUCAUACAGAAAAGUUAACAGUGACUUGAGACACAAGACCAAAACCAGCAUCUUUCCCUAAACUCAACCAAAGUGCUUAUGGUGACUAAGCCACAGACUCUGGGACUCUGGAUGUGAACCCGGCUCUCUGGUGUAACGGUUGUGUCCUUUUUCUACGCCCUCCAUUCUCCUCAACCACCACCUGCUCGCCUUUGCUGCCGUUAAUAAAUGCAAAUAAAUUUGUUUAAAGAAAAAAGUUGCCUCUGAACAUGAUCCAGCCAGCGAUUAUGCUGCCACCACAACGCAAUUGCUCAUAAAGUUCAUCUCCACGUAAAAGAUUGCUGGUUUUUCAUUGGGACUGUACAAUGGGGAGAUUAAUAAUUAAUAAUUUUAUGUAACAAUUACAAUAAAUUAUCACAGUAACACUCACUGUAUUAUUCAGCCUGAUGUAUCACUCAUUGUAACAUACAGGUAAUUGCCAAAUGAUCAUUCAGAAGUGGGUAUUAAAACCUGCACUUGGAGUCAGACAUAUUCAUGUGUAGGCCACUGUUGCCAUGAUAAAAUCACCACUGCUGAAGAUAUAAACCAAACCCUCUAUUGUCACAAAAUCACAUUGGUUCUUUGAGGCAUGGAUGUAAUUUUUUUUUCACCGUUGUACGAAAAUCACCCCGACUCCUCUGCUUUGAGACAGGCAUGACGGCGACAGAGAUCUUCACCAUGGAGUUAAAAAAAAUCUGAUCUUUUGGUCCCUUGUGUAAAUGCAGCCACUCUCUCUCUCUCUCUCUCUCUCUCUCUCUCUCUCUCUCUCUCUCUCUCUCUCUGCAUGUGUGUGUGUAUACUGUGGUUGCUGCUGUGUAAAAUAACAUGGAAAAGGUGAUUUUCCACUAUAGUGAGGUUUCCACAGUGUGUUUCCCCCAGGCAGGAGCAGAGACAUGAUUGAAUUUUCAUGUGUGCGUGUGUGUGUGUGUGCGAUGACACUGGUUUGACUAAGACGCCUCAUCCCUCUGCUGCACGUCCACCGGUCUGUAUUGUUCUCUUUCACUGGCUCAGUUAAGUUCUCAUUAGUUUCCUGUAAGCAAAAGAUGAACACAAGCUAAUAAAGACGGCUUCAUAUUUUUACAAAAGCAAGUUUGUUUUACAGAAGCAUUUAAAGUAACACCUCUUUUUUUUCCCUUGUUAUUCCUCAAAAGCAGGACAUCCGGGCAGUGUGUGGUUUUCAUAUCACAGCAGUCUGAUUAUACUAAGAGAGUGAGAGAGAAGAAGAAAGAGUCAUUACAUGUACACACACCUGAGUCUUGUCUGUCGCUCUUGUCUCUCUUUCCACAUACAAUAACCCUGCUUUUCUCUCUCCCUGUAGGUGAUGCUGAUGGUGUACCAUCCAACCAGUAGGAGUUCAGGAGAUGCAGAAGAUGCUGACACACACGCUUGCACACGCACACAGCAAAUGUAAAUGAAAGCUUGCUGUCAGUAGUGUGAGCCAUUUCCAGGUGAAGCAAACUGAAUUAAACUGAAUCAAGCUGAACUGAUCUGAGCUGGAAUGACCUGAACUGAACUGAAAAGAAGGAUUCAGAUGGACGGGACACGCAGCUCUCUGAGGUUUGGGGAAUUUUUUUUUGAAGUCAGAGAAAUACCUUUCAAAUAAUACAGAUGAAAACCUGCUGUCAUUUACACCUGGUGUUUUUGUGGGUUCCCUUGCUAGACUUCCUAUGCUUUGUUCUCUGUAUAUGGUGUUUUCUCACAUUUAUAGUUGGUGCUAUAAUAUGAAUUAAACCUAAAUUUUCAACCACAGACUUUGACACUGUACAAUGUCAGCUUUCCCUUGUGUGUGUAUCAUCUUUGUUUUUUUUUUUUGUUUGUUUUUUUUACAGAGCUUAUUUUCUUAAUUGAUGAGCACUAAACAAACUUGUUUUCAAAAUCUGUUGUGCACGGUUUGUUUUUCUUUCUUCUUUGCUUUUUUUCUGUGUAACUGUCUCCAUAUAUCUCAAUGGGGGAUUAUCACUGAAUAAAAAUGUUAUCAGGACUCUUUGCUAUAUGUUAGCAUGAGAAACUAGCACUGAAGUAAAACACAUGCAUCUUCAGCUUUGGUAUUUUUCUUUCACCUGUCCAGACCCAUUAGAUAAUCUGAAAAAAUGCAUUUCUAGACAACGUUUGGUUAUCACUGGUCAUGACAAGCUGACAUUUUGAGAUAUUGUGAUAUUAAUAUUUGAGCACAUUUGGAAUAUUGUGCCCAAAUGUGCUUAAAUAUCAUCCUGAAAAAGUGAAGCAUCCAAC